UACGUAGGUGGCAAGCGUUGUCCGGAAUUAUUGGGCGUAAAGCGCGCGCAGGCGGUCCUUUAAGUCUGAUGUGAAAGCCCACGGCUCAACCGUGGAGGGUCAUUGGAAACUGGGGGACUUGAGUACAGAAGAGGAAAGCGGAAUUCCACGUGUAGCGGUGAAAUGCGUAGAGAUGUGGAGGAACACCAGUGGCGAAGGCGACUUUCUGGUCUGUAACUGACACUGAGGCGCGAAAGCGUGGGGAGCGAACAGG
rnacentral:rRNA from 1 species